rnacentral:pre_miRNA from 2 species
GUUGAGGGGAAUGCUGUCUGGUUCGAGACCGUUCAUUUGAAGCUCUAGACUUCAUCAGAAUGAUCUCGGACCAGGCUUCAUUCCCCCCAAC